rnacentral:rRNA from 1 species
CAGUUAGCGGUGGAUCACUUGGGUCGUAGAUCGAUGAAGAACGCAGCUAGACUGCGAUAGGCGGCGCGAAUUGCAGGACACGCUGAGCGCUUGAUAUUCGAACGCAUAUUGCGGCUUUCGUUGGCAACAAUGAAAGCCCUGUCUGUAUGAGGGUCGGUUA